UACACACCGCCCGUCACAGCAUGAAAGUUUUCUGUACCCAAAGUUGCCUUAGCUAACCCGUAAGGGAGGCGGGCACCUAAGGUAUGGGCAAUGAUUGGGCUG
rnacentral:rRNA from 1 species